rnacentral:lncRNA from 1 species
UUUAUUCUGGGUUGAGACUCAUCUCGUGGGUCGUCUCGAUCCAUGCGCCUCGAGGUUAGACCUGCGGGGAAAAACAAACGAACGAAAUUUUCUGCCCCAGUUUCACUAGGAAAAUUUCGUGAGUUAUUUGCCAGGAAGUUCAUAGAAUUGAUGAAGGAAUUGGAAAAUUUCAGUUUCCAAAAUGCCAAUUCCGGGAUUGGAUCAACUAUACGUCCACAAGAUAUGAAUGCUCAGUUUAGGGUUGGAGCCCUAAGGCUGGCGGGAUGGAAAUAGUUCAGUUCAGGGUUGGAGCCCUAAGGCCGACUAGCUGGGGAGAAGCUCAGUUUAGAGUUGAAACUCUAAUGCUGACCAACUGGGGAAAAGUUCAGUUUAGGGUUGGGGCCCUAAUGAUGACUGAAUGGAAAAAGUUCAGUUUAGGGGUUAAAACCCUAAUGUUGACUAAAUCGAAAAGUUCAGUUUAGGGUUUAAAAUCCUAAUGCUGACUAAAUGGAAAAGUUCAGUUUAGGGUUUAAAACCCUAAUGCUGACUAAAGGAAAAGUUCAAUUUAGGGUUUUAAACCCUAAUGC